rnacentral:tRNA from 1 species
AAGGCCUUAAGUUAAACGUUAAACUAAUAACCUUCAAAGCUAUAAAUAAAGGGUUAUCCUUUAGGCCUUG